UUUCGCCAAACACCUAUAUGCGCCCACAGCACUCAAAGGGUUAACUCUCGACCAAUUCUUUACUCAACUGCAAAGAACUGAUCGACUCUCAACUGAAAGCUGACAGACUCUAAGUGGCUAUGCUUAUUUAUACUACAAACUAUCAUGGGAUAAUUGUCAUGUGACCGUUUAUUCCACGAAUACGCGGAGUUUCGACACGUAAUUAUUUCUACGGAUGCUGCAAUCUUCAUUUUUGCUGGUGUCCUUCCAAAAGUCUUAGGAUUUCUUUUCUCCGCUGAUGUGGUUUUCGUGGAUAUGUUUUUCGACGUCCUUGCUAUUGCAUUUCUCUUGCAGUUUUAAUUUCCUUGUGCCAAGGUUAACUUCUGCUGAUGCCGAUAUUUGAUUCUUUGGCGCGUGCUUGUCUCUGCUGAUGUUACAUGAGAGGGUCAUAGUCGCUCAACUCCCGUUGUUUGUUUAUCUUACUGUGUAUUGUGGUGGGGAGAUCGUGUGUGGGGAGCGAAAGAUGGCGCGUGUCAGCGGACGUCUCAUUCAGCCAACCGCGCGCCACAGCGAGUUUCCCACCGUGCUCGGACAAGACAACCUGUAACGCUGUCCAUCGUGCAUUGUUCCAAGUAUCGAGGACUAAUAUUCACUACUUAACAAACAAAGAAGUGUAAACAAUAAUUGAUAAUAAUAACGACAACAACAACAAAAAAUAAAAGAAAACGCGUUACUAAAAGGGAGGCUAUUGCCUUUCAUCGCAGCCAGAGGUCCUAUCCCACACUCUGUAUCGCGAAGUGGCGAUACAGGCACUUACCGAAGUUACCAUAACCGGCGAAUAUCUGCGUCAUACCUGACCAAUAUUACUACUUCCUCUAUUUUCCAAAAUACUAGAGAAAAUAUAUACGAUCGUCUAAAACCAACAAUAGAGAAAGAAAAAUUAAUACCAGAUCACCAAUUUGAAUUCAGAAACAAACACUUCCCGAUAGAGCAAUUGUACAGGCUCGUCAACGAAAUUUUACUAGCAAUAGAAAAGAAACAAUAUUGUACAACCCUCUUCAUGGACAUUGAGAAAGCAUUUGACAAAGUGAACCGUGAAAGCCUCUUACAAACAAUCGAAAAACACUUCCCGGAACAAAUCCACCACUUACUCAAAUCAUACCUAAGCAACAGAACCUUUGUAGUAAAAAUACUUUGUUGUUUUUGGCUCGUUGAUGUUCUAUAAGGAACAUUGGUAGUGGUGUCGAUGUGCUGUUCUUGACCAGUUUAAUUAUGCUAUUUAUUUUGUGUCCUUCUUCCAUUAGGUCUGUCAAUAUAUUUUGUGCCAAGUUUUGUGUGCAGUCCCUUUAUCACUAUCUUAAAUUUCUUUUCAGUCUUUGGUUGGUGAGUGUAAUAAUUUGAAUUUUUUAUUUCAAGUACUUCAAUCACUGUAUGCAUCUAAAGUAAAUUUUUGCAGUUUGACUUGUAUAUCUUUUAAUUAUUUCUUUAAAAAUUACUUGGGUCUGUGGCGGCACUCGACCUCGGAAAUUUCCAACGGUUUCGCGGCACAAAGCGCUAUGUCGACAAGCCUUAGGUGUCAUCGAUAAUCUCUACGGUUCCUUCGCUGAAUUUUUGGGAGUCCGCACACGCGGCAGUCGUCGCGGGCUUCUAACAAACGCGCGCGAUAUCGAUGGCCAACAAA